AGAGUUUGAUCCUGGCUCAGGAUGAACGCUGGCGGCGUGCCUAACACAUGCAAGUCGAACGAGAACCCAUGAAUUCGUUCGUGGGGGACAGUGGCGCACGGGUGAGUAACACGUAGCUAACCUGCCCCGGAGCGGGGGACAACCAUUGGAAACGAUGGCUAAUACCGCGUACGUUCGCCUGCCUAUAAAUGGCGGCGAGGAAAGGAGUGCUUUCGAGCACUUCGCUCUGGGAGGGGGCUGCGGCCCAUCAGGUAGUUGGUAGGGUAAUGGCCUACCAAGCCGACGACGGGUAGGGGACCUGAGAGGGUGACCCCCCACACUGGGACUGAGACACGGCCCAGACUCCUACGGGAGGCAGCAGUGAGGAAUAUUGCCCAAUGGACGCAAGUCUGAGGCAGCAACGCCGCGUGAACGAUGAAGGCCUUCGGGUUGUAAAGUUCUUUUCUGGGGGAAGAGAGCAAGGACGGUACCCCAGGAACAAGUGUCGGCUAACUACGUGCCAGCAGCCGCGGUAAAACGUAGGACGCAAGCGUUAUCCGGAUUUACUGGGCGUAAAGCGCGUGCAGGCGGCGACUUAAGUCGUGCGUGAAAGCUCCCUGGCUCAACCGGGAGAGGUCGUACGAAACUAGGUCGCUUGAGGACAGUAGAGGCGUGUGGAAUUCCGGGUGUAGUGGUGAAAUGCGUAGAUAUCCGGAGGAACACCAGUGGCGAAGGCGACACGCUGGGCUGUACCUGACGCUAAGACGCGAAAGCAUGGGUAGCGAACGGGAUUAGAAACCCCGGUAGUCCAUGCCGUAAACGAUGCGCACUAAGUGUGGCGGGACUUGAGCCUGCUGUGCUGAAGCUAACGCGAUAAGUGCGCCGCCUGGGGACUACGGUCGCAAGGCUAAAACUCAAAGGAAUUGACGGGGGCCCGCACAAGCAGCGGAGCGUGUGGUUUAAUUCGAGUCUACGCGAAGAACCUUACCUGGGUUUGACAUGACGGUGGUAGGAACCUGAAAAGGAACCGACCUUCGGGAGCCGCCACAGGUGCUGCAUGGCUGUCGUCAGCUCGUGCCGUGAGGUGUUCGGUUAAGUCCGGUAACGAGCGCAACCCUCAGGUCUAGUUACAUGUGUCUAGACCGACUGCCCGUGACAAGCGGGAGGAAGGUGGGGAUGACGUCAAGUCAGCAUGGCCUUUAUAUCCAGGGCUACACACACGCUACAAUGGCCGGUACAAUAGGUUGCCAACCCGCGAGGGGGAGCCAAUCCAUCAAAACCGGUCUCAGUUCGAAUUGUAGGCUGCAACUCGCCUGCAUGAAGUCGGAGUUGCUAGUAACCGCAGGUCAGCAACACUGCGGUGAAUACGUUCCCGGGCCUUGUACACACCGCCCGUCACGUCAUGGAAGUCGGUCACGCCUGAAGCCGGUGGGCUAACUGCAAAGAGGCAGCCGUCCAAGGCAGGGCUGGUAACUGGGACGAAGUCGUAACAAGGUA
rnacentral:rRNA from 1 species